rfam:Nicotiana attenuata strain TT chromosome 12, whole genome shotgun sequence.
UGGACAGAUUAUUGUAUUCGACUGUAUUCACAGCGUGAAACAGGGGAUUACACUAUUUUUAAAUGGAAAGUGAAUCAAUUAACAUAAUAGACUCUU